GGGCAUGGGCUCAAUGACAUACAGGUUCAUUAAUGAAUGGGGGGAAAAUCAUACUUCUCAGAUUUUUCAUAUAUCUCAUAGCUAGUGCCCCUUUAAGUUGACAGAAUCGGAAGAAAAUACUUUUAAUGAUGCUCAAUAGCUAGUAGAUACAUUGUCUUUCAAAAUACACCAUCUAAUUACCUAUCGAGUUGACCUUCGAAUACCUCCAAUGGUCAUACAAGCGAUAUAAAAUAUAAUUAAAAACCAUUGUUCAGAGAAAAUGGUC
rnacentral:lncRNA from 1 species